ensembl:lncRNA
GUUGUUUAUGUAUAUAGAUAUUUUUAAUCAUCAUAAAUAUUCCUACUAACAAUAUUCUUCUAUUUGUCCCUAGGUGACUAAAAAAAUCAGUAACAUGUUUCAUGUAGUUCUCCAUCAUUUUUCUUUUUUGGUACCGGGGAUUGAACUCGGGUCCUUGCACUUGCGAGGCAGGCAGCAGAACCACUGAGCUAAAUCCCCAGCCCUCCCCGUCAUUUUUCUUUCAGUACUGAGGACUGAACUCAGGGCCCUCACACUGAGUCACACCCCACCCCCCAGCCCUUUUUUUUGUUUUUUAUUUUCCCAAGUUGCUAAUUGGCCCAGGCUGGGCUUGAACUUGCAACCCUCCUGCCUUAGCCUCCCCAAAUUCUGGGAUUGUAGGCAGACACCACCACACCUGGCCAUCAGUCAUGUUUGACUGCUGUAUUGUAGUCUGGGGGUGGGGCUUGAAAGGCCCACAUAGAAGACACCUGAGGCUUUGUGGCUACACGGUCUGUCACAGCCCCCUCCAGGAACCUCCCUCCCCACAGGGCGGGCUCAAGCUGCAGGUGUCACCUUUGGAGCCAGAGUUGGAGAAAGUCUAUUCUGUUGCUGCUUGGCCUUUCCCAGGGUCAAGGGUAAGCCACCCUUGCCAUUGUCCAGGAAUAUUCCUCGUGUGUCGAGCAGGCUUUUCCCCCGGCUUUUCUAUGAGGACCAACGCUGUGGAGAUUCACCUUCGACUCCUCCAGCGAGGUCAGUGCCAAGAAGUGGGGCUGGUACUGUCCACAUUUCCAGGGCUGUUGCUACAUGACAUGUGCACACAUGAGUGCGCGCACACACACACACACACGUGCGCACAUGCACACUUGGCUCUCUAGUGCUGCAGAGCUGACUUGUCAAGUGUCACAGCCCCUUUCAGAUGGCUUAGCGCUUAGUUCACACUGCCUUUUCAGUUACCAAUGGCUUUGAAGAACUGGCCGCCCCUUUUAACAGCUGUCUAGUAUUUCACUGAUUGGAUUCAUUCAUCAGUACUCCUCAGUAACUACCUACUAAGCCCCACCUCUGCUGGGCUCUUCUUGGCAUUGGCAGUAGACAAAAGAAAAUGCUUGCCCUUCAUGGCAACUUGUUAGCAGAAGAUAGAUGAAAGAGAAUGAACGUGACUGCUGGUGACAGCACUACAGAGGAAAUGAGGCUCAGAGGGGACGGUAGGUGUUGCUCUCCUCAUGUCCCUGGGGCUUCAGUGAAGGCCUCUGUUGAACACAUGGUGAUCACUGGAGGGAAGGCUGAGCUUCUGGGGAAGCGGCCUGUGCAAAGGCCAGGGGGCUGACCUGCACCAAGGGUGUCCAGGGAACGAGGAGGCCACAGGGCUGGUGUUGAAAGGUGAGCAGCUGUGGGGAGAGGAAGACUGAAAGGGCUCACUGCCAGGGCGUCAACAAAACUCACUGACGCCAAGGGCUGGGGAUUUGGCUCAGUGACACCAUCGUCUGUCUUGUAAAUACAAGGUCCUGAGUUCGAUCCCCAGUACCAAACCCAAAACAAAAAAAACCUGACUGACUCCAGGAUAGUGAGCAGGGGACAGUUCUGAGGCCCAGGACCGUUAUCUGGCUGAUGUUUAAAUGGAAUUACUGUGGCUGCUCUGAGGGGCAGAGGUGAACCCAAAGAGAGAACAAAGCGAUCGAUUUAAGUCAUUUAUUAGCCAAAUACUCUAUUAAUAAAUAACACUGUCUCUGCUUUCUAUUAUAAAUCUGCUGGAGGGCCAGGGAUUUAACUCAGUGGUUGCACUGCCUGCCUCAAAAGCACAAGGUCCUGAGUUCGAUCCCCAGUACAAAAACAAAAAAAAUCUGCUGGAAUAAACAAAGGGGUUUCUGACCAUGGUAAGACAUCUAUGAAACUGACCUGUUAGCCACUUCCUGUACAGCUCGGGCGCCAGGAGCCUUCAUGGUAUUCUAUAACUGUCACCUCUAUGUCCGCAGCCUGUUCCCCAUGCCAUGGACUCCAUGUCUGGAAGUGAACCCUCCCCAGCCCGGUCACCUCCGCCCAGCCCUCCUGUGCUGAGAAUCGGGCUCUUGUCUGGACUGCAGAUAGGGGAGUCCUAAGACGUUUGUCCUUUCGUCCUGGCUCGUUCUGCUCAGCAGUGUCUGCAGGUCCAUCCACAUGUGUGUGUGUGUGUGUGUGUGUGUGUGUGUGUGUGUGUGUGUGUGAGAAAUACACUUCAUUUGACUUUCCGUCCAUCCGCUGAUGAGCACUAAGGUGGUUUCUCACAGCUUCGUGAGAACAAUGGAAUCUGAGGAGCUGACUCUGGGUUUCGCCUCACCGGGGACAUGGGGAGUGCAUUGCUGAGCCAGGUGACAGUCGUGGUGUGACUCUCCAAGGAAGCUCCAAACUUUCGCACAGCAUCUGGGCCAGGAGGAAGCGGCCCCAGUGCCCGAGGCUCCUGCUCCUGUCUUCCAGAAUGACCCGUGGCCAGCUGUCCGAGGAGGACAAGGUAAUGCUUCUGCCAAAACGACCAUCCGUGGACUCACAGAAUGCUUCAUCCACCAUCAUGGAAUUCCUCACAACUUUGCCUCUGACCAAGGAGCACAUUUUACAGCAAAGAGUUUGGGCAGAAUUGUUUCUGUAUUUCUCGGGAUGGAACCUAGCAACUCAUGCAUGCCAGGCGGGCAUCUACCGCUGAGCUGCACCAGCUGGGCAGUUUCAUUGGCCGAACAGUGCGUCCACUUCCUCCUCCAUCAAAGCGGUUGCACAGACUGAGAGAAGCAGGCUCCUGGAACGGGUCACUUUGACUUUGGGGAGGAUCCAGGAGUCACAGGGUGCCAGAUCCAGUGACCAAGGUGGAUGAAGACGCAGCGCCGUGGUUUAGGAGCGGCCUUUCUGCUGGACGGCAAUAGCGGCUGCAUUCACUGUGUUUUUGAUGAGACCUCAUAAAGACCCUCAGCAAAGAGGACUCCGGAGCUGCUGCAGAGCGGCAAGGGGAUUGAACUCAGGUUCUUGGGCUCAAGAAGCAGGCAUCAGAACCACUGAACUAAAUCCCCAGCCCCUCCAGGAAAUUAUCUUAAAGAUGCUUUUGAGCACAAAGACUGUUUUCUGUACGCACAGCUCAUCCAACGUCUUUGGCAAGGGAAAGUGCGUGCACAGCACACUGAGGGCCCGCUGAGGUGCAAACGUGCACGCAUCCGCCAGGGGAGCUUCAAACAGCCACUGCGCAUGGAGAAAAAAAUCAAAG